rnacentral:rRNA from 1 species
ACGCUCGACACCUACGGGAGCAGCAGUGGGGAAUAUUGCACAAUGGGGGAAACCCUGAUGCAGCGACGCCGCGUGAGCGAAGAAGUAUUUCGGUAUGUAAAGCUCUAUCAGCAGGGAAGAAACUGACGGUACCUGACUAAGAAGCACCGGCUAAAUACGUGCCAGCAGCCGACGGUAAUCUGAGGCGGGCUGGCAAGGC